rnacentral:misc_RNA from 1 species
AGCAGCCGCGGUAAUUCCAGCUCCAAUAGCGUAUAUUAAAGUUGUUGCAGUUAAAAAGCUCGUAGUUGAAUUUCGGGAUUGACACAUCGGUCGUGCCUUAAGGGGUAUGAACUGGUGUAGUCAAUUUCUCACCUUCUGGAGAACCGCGAUGCCCUUAAUUGGGUGCCACGGGGAACCAGGACCUUUACUUUGAAAAAAUUAGAGUGUUUAAAGCAGGCAUUUUGCUUGAAUACAUUAGCAUGGAAUAAUAAAAUAGGACGGCAUGAUUCUAUUUUGUUGGUUUCUAGGAUCACCGUAAUGAUUAAUAGGGAUAGUUGGGGGCAUUAGUAUUCAAUUGUCAGAGGUGAAAUUCUUGGAUUUAUUGAAGACUAACUACUGCGAAAGCAUUUGCCAAGGAUGUUUUCAUUAAUCAAGAACGAAAGUUAGGGGAUCGAAGACGAUCAGAUACCGUCGUAGUCUUAACCAUAAACUAUGCCGACUAGGAAUCAGACGAUGUUAAUUUUUUAAUGACUCGUUUGGCACCUUACG